rnacentral:rRNA from 1 species
GACCAAAGAUUUGUCGGCCUUAGAGCGGCCUAUCUCCUAUCAGCUUGUGGGUGGGGUAAUGGCCUACCAAGGCAACGACGGGUAGCGGGACUGAGAGGUUGGCCCGCCACAUCGGGACUGAGACACUGCCCGGACCUCCACGGAGGGCUGCAGUAACGAAUAUUGGGCAAUGGGCGAAAGCCUGACCCAGCAAUGCCGCGUGUAGGAUGAAGCCCCUCGGGGUGUAAACUACUGUCAGGGGUUAGAAAGCUACGGUUGAUCAAACCCCAGAGGAAGUCACGGCUAACUUCGUGCCAGCAGCCGCGGUAAUACGAAGGUGGCGAGCGUUAUUCGGAAUUACUGGGCUUAAAGCGCACGCAGGCGGAAUAUUUAGCGUCUUGUGAAAUCCCCCGGCUUAACCGGGGAAUUGCAGGGCGAACUGGUAUUCUUGAGGCAAGUAGGGGUGCAUGGAACUCUUGGUGGAGCGGUGGAAUGCGUAGAUAUCAAGAGGAACGCCGAUGGUGAAGACAGUGCACUGGGCUUGUCCUGACGCUGAGGUGCGAAAGCGUGGGGAGCGAACGGGAUUAGAUACCCCGGUAGUCCACGCCGUAAACGAUGCCUACUAGGUCGUGGUUGUUCUGACACACUCACGGCCGAAGCAAAAGUGUUUAGUAGGCCGCCUGGGGAGUACGGUCGCAAGGCUAAAACUCAAAGGAAUUGACGGGGGCUCACACAAGCGGUGGAGCAUGUGGAUUAAUUCGAAGCAACGCGCAGAACCUUACCUGGGUUUGACAUGUAUGGAUGCCUGCUGUGAAAACAGUUAGGUUGCCUUCGGGUGAAACUUACACAGGUGCUGCAUGGCUGUCGUCAGCUCGUGUCGUGAGAUGUCGGGUUAAGUCCUUUAACGAGCGAAACCCUUGCCGUUAGUUGCCAGCGGGUCAUGCCGGGGACUCUAACGGGACUGCCGGUGUCAAACCGGAGGAAGGUGGGGAUGACGUCAAGUCCUCAUGGCCUUUAUGCCCAGGGCCUCACACGUGCUACAAUGGGUGCUACAGAGCGACGCGAGACCGCGAGGUGGAGCUAAUCGCAAAAAAGCAUCCUCAGUUCGGAUUGCAGGCUGGCAAUUCGCCUGCAUGAAGUUGGAAUCGCUAGUAAUCGCGUAUCAGCUAUGACGCGGUGAAUGUGUUCCUGAGCCUUGUACACACCGCCCGUCAAGUGAUGGAAGCCGGGAGUACCCGA